rnacentral:lncRNA from 1 species
GAGCCUGUAGCCUAGUGGUUACAUAAGGUUUUAGUAGCACCUGAGGUCCUGGGUUCGACUCCUCGUGCCCGUGGUGACUUCGGGGUUAGGUGCUCACAGGAAAGAGUGUGCGUGCGCUGUGAGCGUCUGCGUUACACUGUGUAGUUUGAUAGACAUGGUACCAUUCAUUUUCACCCCUCAAGCUGUGUACCAAUUUGCUUUCUAGUCAACUUGCACUGCAUAUUUAGAUUUGGAGCAAUCACACUUGGCAGACUUAGAUACUAAUCUGCAUAGUAUUGUGCCUGCUUGUGUUGAAUGGUACAUGGCUCAUGGCCCGCCCUGAGCCUGCUUCUGUUGAUCAGUUUUGAUGUUAUGACUGUAAAUUUUUCAUCUAUUGCUGUGUACAGAAAUAUGGAGUAUAUGAUAUGCUGAAGCUGUAAAUUUGAAAGAGGGAAG